rnacentral:rRNA from 1 species
AGCGAACGCUGGCGGCAGGCCUAACACAUGCAAGUCGAACGUACUCUUCGUAGUUAGUGGCGGACGGGUGAGUAACCCGUGGGAACGUGCCUUUUGGUUCGGAACAACUCAGGGAAACUUGUGCUAAUACCGAAUGUGCCCUUCGGGGGAAAGGUUUAUCGCCAUUAGAGCGGCCCGCGUCUGAUUAGCUUGUUGGUGAGGUCACGGCUCACCAAGGCGUCGAUCAGUAGCUGGUCUGAGAGGAUGACCAGCCACACUGGUACUGAGACACGGACCAGACUCCGACGGGAGGGUGCAGAGGGGAAUCUUGCGCAAUGGGCGAAAGCCUGACGCAGCCAUGCCGCGUGAAUGAUGAAGGUCUUAGGAUUGUAAAAUUCUUUCACCGGGGACGAUAAUGACGGUACCCGGAGAAGAAGCCCCGGCUAACUACGUG